rnacentral:rRNA from 1 species
CUACGGGAUGCAGCAGUGGGGAAUAUUGGACAAUGGGGGAAACCCUGAUCCAGCAAUGCCGCGUGUGUGAAGAAGGCCUGCGGGUUGUAAAGCACUUUCGGUUGGGAGGACUGCUUCUAGCACUAAUAUUGUUGGAAGUUGACGUUACCUUCAGAAGAAGCACCGGCUAACUCCGUGCCAGCAGCCGCGGUAAUAGCGGAGGGUGCAAGCGUUAAUCGGAAUUACUGGGCGUAAAGCGCGCGUAGGCGGCUAGAUCAGUCGGGUGUGAAAGCCCCGGGCUUAACCUGGGAACUGCAUCCGAUACUGUCUAGCUUGAGUACAGGAGAGGAGAGUGGAAUUCCACAUGUAGCGGUGAAAUGCGUAGAUAUGUGGAGGAACACCAAUGGCGAAGGCAGCUCUCUGGCCUGAUACUGACGCUGAGGUGCGAAAGCGUGGGGAGCAAACAGGAUUAGAUACCCCAGUAGUC